rnacentral:rRNA from 1 species
AUUGAACGCUGGCGGCAUGCCUUACACAUGCAAGUCGAACGGUAACAGGUCUUCGGAUGCUGACGAGUGGCGAACGGGUGAGUAAUACAUCGGAACGUGCCUAGUAGUGGGGGAUAACUACUCGAAAGAGUGGCUAAUACCGCAUGAGAUCUACGGAUGAAAGCAGGGGAUCGCAAGACCUUGUGCUACUAGAGCGGCCGAUGGCAGAUUAGGUAGUUGGUGGGAUAAAAGCUUACCAAGCCGACGAUCUGUAGCUGGUCUGAGAGGACGAUCAGCCACACUGGGACUGAGACACGGCCCAGACUCCUACGGGAGGCAGCAGUGGGGAAUUUUGGACAAUGGGCGCAAGCCUGAUCCAGCAAUGCCGCGUGCAGGAUGAAGGCCUUCGGGUUGUAAACUGCUUUUGUACGGAACGAAAAGCCCUGGGUUAAUACCCUGGGGUCAUGACGGUACCGUAAGGAUAAGCACCGGCUAACUACGUGCCAGCAGCCGCAGUAAGAC